GUGCUCACUUCAGCAGCACAUAUACUAAAAUCGGAAUGAUACAGAAAAGAUUAGCAUGGCCCUUGCACAAGGAUAACAUGCAGCAUUCCAUAUUUUU
rfam:Canis lupus familiaris chromosome 2, whole genome shotgun sequence.